CUCAGUGUGAUCGCGCACCGAUUUGUGGGGACGCAAAUUCAAAAAAUAGAAUUCUAUAAAAGAAAAAAAGAGAGAGACAAAAAAUAUAGAAAGGUACACAGCUAUUUAGGAAAUAUUAAGGAUUAUACAAGUGCAGAGAAAGAUAACACGUGCCAAAGAGCAUUGCUGUCGAAUGCAUCUGGUCUUCAACGCCCACAUAUGCACAUUAAUACAUCGGCACAUAUCGAUAACGACGAGGAAGGAAGGCAGGAAGAUCGUGUGAUUCACUUGCCUACCCUGAAGGAAAAAAAUGCAUCGACGAGGAAAUUGCAUUUCUCGACGAUGAUUGUAUUUGACGUCAUUCGCACCGCGAAAAAUACAUGUAUAAGGCGACUCUCACAUCGUGAGACCCGAUUGCGACCGGCGCUAGAAACAUGCAAUGGUACCCGAGAACAGAAACUAGAAAGGAAAAGAGAGGUGGGCCAAAGCUCGGCUUAGUAAGAGCGAUCUAAACGGUGACUGCUAUAUUGUCACUGGGAAACGAAAAUAGCUGCUGUCAGCCUCAGAGGCAAAUCGUGGCGGCGAGGAAGCGAGAGAGAACAACGAUGGCCGAUGGAGAGCUAAGGUGGUAUGGUGCAUGACAACGACGACGACGAAGAAGGAGGGAUCAAGAAAAGCGACGAAGAAGCAUCGAGGGUGUUGUGUGAGAUUUGGAAUGAAGAACCCGGCCGAACGGACUUAUUUCGCCUUACGUAAUUCUUCUGCUUCUCCUUCUUCUUCGAGCUUCAAAGCCUCGAGACUAGAAAUUUGCCCCGCUGCGUGUUAUUAUGGCAUCGCACGAGAGAGAGAUUGAAAACUUGACGCAAUAAAAAUACAUAUAAUCGUACAUAAAACUCGAUGACUCACAAUAAAAAUAAUCAUCGAAAAUAGAAUUUUCGAGAGAAAUAAAAAUAAUAAUUUGUAAAAUGAUAUCUAUUGAUUCGUGUUGAAUUAUUGAAACAUUUUUUGCGGUUUAACUAAAGAUUUAUUU